rnacentral:tRNA from 1 species
AAGAUACUAGUAAAGAAUUUACAUUGCCUUGUCAAGGCAGUAUCGUGGGUUAGACCCCCGCGUAUCUUG